rnacentral:rRNA from 1 species
UACAGAGGUCCCAAGCGUUGUUCGGAUUCAUUGGGCGUAAAGGGUGCGUAGGCGGCGCGGUAAGUCGGGUGUGAAAACUGGCGGCUUAACUGCCAGAGGCCAUCCCAUACGGCGCAACUCGAGCCAUGCAGAGGUCCACGGAAUUGCCGGUGUAGCGGUGGAAUGCGCAGAUAUCAGGAGGAACACCGGUGGCGAAGGCGGGUCUCUGGGCAGUAACUGACGCUGAGGAGCGAAAGCGUGGGGAGCGAACAGG